rnacentral:rRNA from 1 species
AGCGAACGCUGGCGGCAGGCCUAACACAUGCAAGUCGAACGAACCUUUCGGGGUUAGUGGCGGACGGGUGAGUAACACGUGGGAACGUGCCUUUAGGUUCGGAAUAACUCAGGGAAACUUGUGCUAAUACCGAAUGUGCCCUUCGGGGGAAAGAUUUAUCGCCUAUAGAGCGGCCCGCGUCUGAUUAGCUAGUUGGUUGAGGUAAUGGCUCACCAAGGCGACGAUCAGUAGCUGGUCUGAGAGGAUGAUCAGCCACAUUGGGACUGAGACACGGCCCAAACUCCUACGGGAGGCAGCAGUGGGGAAUCUUGCGCAAUGGGCGAAAGCAUGACGCAGCCAUGCCGCGUGAAUGAUGAAAGUCUUAGGAUUGUAAAAUUCUUUCAACGGGGACGAUAAUGACGGUACCCGGAGAAGAAGCCCCGGCUAACUUCGUG